GGCCUGAUAGUUCAGUGGUAGAAUUCUUGCUUUGGGUAUUACGACUUAAUUGUAAGAGGUCUCCGGUUCGAUCCCGGAUUAGGCCC